rnacentral:rRNA from 1 species
UACGUAGGGUGCAAGCGUUGUCCGGAAUUAUUGGGCGUAAAGAGCUCGUAGGCGGUCUGUCGCGUCUGCUGUGAAAACUCAGGGCUUAACCCUGAGCUUGCAGUGGGUACGGGCAGACUAGAGUGCGGUAGGGGAGACUGGAAUUCCUGGUGUAGCGGUGAAAUGCGCAGAUAUCAGGAGGAACACCGGUGGCGAAGGCGGCGUUCUGGACCAUUACUGACACUGAAUCGCGAAAGCUAGGGGAGCAAACGGG